rnacentral:rRNA from 1 species
UUACCGUGAAAAAAUUAGAGUGUUCAAAGCAGGCAGAUCCAAUUUUCUGCCACCGAAUACAUUAGCAUGGGAUAAUGGAAUAGGACCCUGUCCUCCUAUUUUCAGUUGGUUUGCCGCGAGGACCAGGGUAAUGAUUAAUAGGGAUAGUUGGGGGCAUUAAUAUUUAAUUGUCAGAGGUGAAAUUCUUGGAUUUAUGAAAGAUUAACUUCUGCGAAAGCAUCUGCCAAGGAUGUUUUCAUUAAUCAAGAACGAAAGUUAGGGGAUCGAAGACGAUCAGAUACCGUCGUAGUCUUAACCAUAAACGAUGCCGACCAGCGAUUAGGAGACGUUGAAUACAAAACACCACCAUGCGCAUUGCGGUCGUCUUUGGUGUCGCUCACAAGGCGGCACCGGGGCGGCUUAGCUCGCAUGGCACCGGUGAAUGACUCCCUAGCAG